AAGUAAAUCCAUUUUACGGGAGCUGAAAAUAAAGUUUUAUUUUGGCAAAUUUGCUUUCUUUAAGGUUGGUUUACAUGUAAAUUAAGAUCUAAAUGAGAAAGAUUUAUGCGCAGUAUUUGGUAUUAACUUUCUGGGAAACCUGGAAUUAGGAAAUUUAUAUAGUUUUGGUAAAAUUUGUGCCAGCCACCGCGGUUAGACAAAUGAGAUAAGAAAGUAUUUUUGGAAUAAGUUAGCCGAUAAUUAGUGACGAAGGUUUUUAUUUUUAGGUGAAAUUUUAAUAAAUUAGAAUGGCUAAUAUUGAAAAGGUGAAGCUUGAAAAUUUAGAAAUAUAACUAGGAUUAGAGACCCUACUAUGCUGAACACGAUAAAGAGUCCCGAGUAGUAAAAGUUAUUGGCUUAAAACUCAAAAAUUUGGCGGUGAUUUAACUAGUCAGAGGAAUUUGUCCCAUAAUCGAUAGUCCCCGUUAUACCUUACUUAAUUUUGUCUAGCUUGUAUACCGCCGUCAUCAGGAGAUUUUAAGAAAACAUCUCCGGGAAAUUGUAAAAUUAUAUGUCAGGUCAAGGUGCAGCUUAUGAUUGAGGAGGAGAUGAAUUACAAUAGAAUAAUUUAUUACGGAUGAAAAUGAAAAAUUAGAUGAAGGUGGAUUUGGAAGUAACACUCUUAAGAAAGAGGGUGUGAUAACAGCGCUAAAUCGUGCACACAUCGCCCGUCGCUCUCGUAAUUAAAUGAGAUAAGUCGUAACAUAGUAGAUGUACCGGAAGGUGUAUCUAGAUUGU
rnacentral:ncRNA from 1 species